CUCUGGGGCCAACCUGAGCUCCCAGACACCUCUAUCGGAGGGCUGAGAUUCUGGCUCCGCCUUUCCUCAGGUGGGCCAGUCCCCAUUCUCGCUCUACUUCCCCUCUCUCUGGACCAUACCCAAACCACCCCCGCCACCCCUCUCCCGGGCCUCAUCUCACUCUCACCCGCGAGGUGCCCCGGCGCCGCAGGGCAGUGGCGGCCUGCAGGUGUGCAGCGCAGGUGAGGGGCUGGGACCACGUCGCCGCCCGCUCGCGGAGCUCGGGGCUAAGUGGCUCACCUGAGUGGAACUCGCCCCAGGCAGACAGUCGAAAACUGGCUGCUCGGAGCCCUGCCCCAGCUGGGCCCCUAGCAGGAACCCUCGCCCGAGCCAUGACGGGCUGGCCUCUUCUCUGCGCCCUGCUGCUGCCGCUGGCUUCGAAGUUGGAUGGCGUUGGAGGGAAUACCACUUCCAUAGCUACUACGAAGACUUCCAAUAUCAUCUUCUCCAGUACACCCCAAUCCACCAUCACCUCCUCCAAUGAAAGCUCCCACCCCACUUCCUCCACCCCCUCCCCCAAAACUUCCCACAGUGGUACCCCCUCCUCUACUGGCAGCUCCAACAGUGUCAGUACCUCCCACAGCGUUAUCCCCCCCACCAACAUCCCCUCCACCCCCUUCCCUAGUGUCACUCCCUUCUCCAAGGACUCUACCUACCAUACCUCCCAUACCAGUUACCCCACCUCCUCCCACAGUGGCUCGCCUUCCUCCACCACCUCCCACAGCCACUCUACCUCUCACAAUAGCAGGCCCUUCUCUCCAACCCCCCCUGAGGGCUCCUCCCCAAGCUCAAGCAUCUCCUCCAGAGCUCCGACAGCUGCUGCCAAUAGGACCCUCUCAACAACCAAGCUGCGGAUCAGUGCCAGUGCAGGAGUGAACCAGCGUAAUCCUGGUGUGGUCAUUGUGGUCUGCCUGCUCGUAUCCAUUCUGGUCCUGGGCUCCGUGGUGGUAGCUGUGAAAUGCUGCCAGAAGGACAUGAGAAGCUUUCAGAAGAUGGAUGAGGUGCCCAUGGAAACUGUUCGAGAAGAGGCACCUUUUGCUAGAUUCCCCCCUCAGUGACCACAGAGGGCAGUGGGAGGUGGAGAGGUGGGUUCUGAGGGGCUUUGGGAACAGCUCCUGCUCAUCUGUGUCAUCUCCUUCCUCCCAGAUGGAUACUGGUGUCUGUCACUGAAUAAAACAAAGAACGAAAUGAGACU
rnacentral:lncRNA from 1 species